GCGGCGUGCCUAAUACAUGCAAGUAGAACGCUGAAGAGAGGAGCUUGCUCUUCUUGGAUGAGUUGCGAACGGGUGAGUAACGCGUAGGUAACCUGCCUUGUAGCGGGGGAUAACUAUUGGAAACGAUAGCUAAUACCGCAUAACAAUGGAUGACACAUGUCAUUUAUUUGAAAGGGGCAAUUGCUCCACUACAAGAUGGACCUGCGUUGUAUUAGCUAGUAGGUGAGGUAAUGGCUCACCUAGGCGACGAUACAUAGCCGACCUGAGAGGGUGAUCGGCCACACUGGGACUGAGACACGGCCCAGACUCCUACGGGAGGCAGCAGUAGGGAAUCUUCGGCAAUGGGGGCAACCCUGACCGAGCAACGCCGCGUGAGUGAAGAAGGUUUUCGGAUCGUAAAGCUCUGUUGUAAGUCAAGAACGGGUGUGAGAGUGGAAAGUUCACACUGUGACGGUAGCUUACCAGAAAGGGACGGCUAACUACGUGCCAGCAGCCGCGGUAAUACGUAGGUCCCGAGCGUUGUCCGGAUUUAUUGGGCGUAAAGCGAGCGCAGGCGGUUUGAUAAGUCUGAAGUUAAAGGCUGUGGCUCAACCAUAGUUCGCUUUGGAAACUGUCAAACUUGAGUGCAGAAGGGGAGAGUGGAAUUCCAUGUGUAGCGGUGAAAUGCGUAGAUAUAUGGAGGAACACCGGUGGCGAAAGCGGCUCUCUGGUCUGUAACUGACGCUGAGGCUCGAAAGCGUGGGGAGCGAACAGGAUUAGAUACCCUGGUAGUCCACGCCGUAAACGAUGAGUGCUAGGUGUUGGAUCCUUUCCGGGAUUCAGUGCCGCAGCUAACGCAUUAAGCACUCCGCCUGGGGAGUACGACCGCAAGGUUGAAACUCAAAGGAAUUGACGGGGGCCCGCACAAGCGGUGGAGCAUGUGGUUUAAUUCGAAGCAACGCGAAGAACCUUACCAGGUCUUGACAUCCCGAUGCUAUUUCUAGAGAUAGAAAGUUACUUCGGUACAUCGGUGACAGGUGGUGCAUGGUUGUCGUCAGCUCGUGUCGUGAGAUGUUGGGUUAAGUCCCGCAACGAGCGCAACCCCUAUUGUUAGUUGCCAUCAUUCAGUUGGGCACUCUAGCGAGACUGCCGGUAAUAAACCGGAGGAAGGUGGGGAUGACGUCAAAUCAUCAUGCCCCUUAUGACCUGGGCUACACACGUGCUACAAUGGUUGGUACAACGAGUUGCGAGUCGGUGACGGCGAGCUAAUCUCUUAAAGCCAAUCUCAGUUCGGAUUGUAGGCUGCAACUCGCCUACAUGAAGUCGGAAUCGCUAGUAAUCGCGGAUCAGCACGCCGCGGUGAAUACGUUCCCGGGCCUUGUACACACCGCCCGUCACACCACGAGAGUUUGUAACACCCGAAGUCGGUGAGGUAACCUUUUGGAGCCAGCCGCCUAAGGUGGGAC
rnacentral:rRNA from 1 species